AUUUUGCGCAAUGGAGGAAACUCUGACGCAGCAACGCCAUGUGUGGGAUGAAGCAUUUCGGUGUGUAAACCACUGUCAGCAGGGAAUAAAUGGUCGCUUCGGCGGCAGUUGAAUGUACCUGCAGAGGAAGCCCCGGCUAACUUCGUGCCAGCAGCCGCGGUAAUACGAGGGGGGCAAAUGUUGUUCGGAAUCACUGGGCGUAAAGGGAGCGUAGGCGGGCUCUUAAGUUAGGUGUUUAAUCCCGGGGCCCAACCCCGGACAGGCACUUAAAACUGGGAGUCUUGAAUAGUGGAGAGGUCGGCGGAAUUGGGGGUGUAGCGGUGGAAUGCGUAGAGAUCCCCAAGAACACCAGUUGCGAAGGCGGCCGACUGGACACAUAUUGACGCUGAGGCUCGAAAGCAUGGGGAGCAAACAGG
rnacentral:rRNA from 1 species